AUAGCUCCGGGAAACUGGAAUUAAUACCGCAUACGCCCUACGGGGGAAAGAUUUAUCGGGGUAUGAUGAGCCCGCGUUGGAUUAGCUAGUUGGUGGGGUAAAGGCCUACCAAGGCGACGAUCCAUAGCUGGUCUGAGAGGAUGAUCAGCCACAUUGGGACUGAGACACGGCCCAAACUCCUACGGGAGGCAGCAGUGGGGAAUAUUGGACAAUGGGCGCAAGCCUGAUCCAGCCAUGCCGCGUGAGUGAUGAAGGCCUUAGGGUUGUAAAGCUCUUUCACCGGAGAAGAUAAUGACGGUAUCCGGAGAAGAAGCCCCGGCUAACUUCGUGCCAGCAGCCGCGGUAAUACGAAGGGGGCUAGCGUUGUUCGGAAUUACUGGGCGUAAAGCGCACGUAGGCGGAUAUUUAAGUCAGGGGUGAAAUCCCAGAGCUCAACUCUGGAACUGCCUUUGAUACUGGGUAUCUUGAGUAUGGAAGAGGUAAGUGGAAUUCCGAGUGUAGAGGUGAAAUUCGUAGAUAUUCGGAGGAACACCAGUGGCGAAGGCGGCUUACUGGUCCAUUACUGACGCUGAGGUGCGAAAGCGUGGGGAGCAAACAGGAU
rnacentral:rRNA from 1 species